rnacentral:rRNA from 1 species
GGCUUAGAGUUUGAUCAUGGCUCAGGACGAACGCUGGCGGCGCGCCUAACACAUGCAAGUCGAACGGAGUUGAGAGGAGCUUGCUUUUCUUGACUUAGUGGCGAACGGGUGAGUAACGCGUGAGGAACCUGCCUCAAAGAGGGGGACAACAGUUGGAAACGACUGCUAAUACCGCAUAAGCCCACGGUCCCGCAUGGGAGAGAGGGAAAAGGAGCAAUCCGCUUUGAGAUGGCCUCGCGUCCGAUUAGCUGGUUGGUGAGGUAACGGCCCACCAAGGCGACGAUCGGUAGCCGGACUGAGAGGUUGAACGGCCACAUUGGGACUGAGACACGGCCCAGACUCCUACGGGAGGCAGCAGUGGGGAAUAUUGCACAAUGGGGGAAACCCUGAUGCAGCGACGCCGCGUGGAGGAAGAAGGUCUUCGGAUUGUAAACUCCUGUUGUUGGGGAAAAAGAGGAUGGUACCCAACAAGGAAGUGACGGCUAACUACGUGCCAGCAGCCGCGGUAAAACGUAGGUCACGAGCGUUGUCCGGAAUUACUGGGUGUAAAGGGAGCGCAGGCGGGUAUGCAAGUUGGGCGUGAAAUACAUGGGCUCAACCCAUGAACUGCUCUCAAAACUGUGUAUCUUGAGUAGUGCAGAGGUAGGCG